UACGUAGGGGGCAAGCGUUAUCCGGAUUCACUGGGCGUAAAGGGAGCGCAGGCGGCACGGCAAGUCUGGUGUGAAAACCCGGGGCUCAACCCCGGGACUGCAUUGGAAACUGCCGGGCUGGAGUGUCGGAGGGGUAAGCGGAAUUCCUAGUGUAGCGGUGAAACGCGUAGAUAUUAGGAGGAACACCAGUGGCGAAGGCGGCUUACUGGACGAUGACUGACGCUGAGGCUCGAAAGCGUGGGGAGCAAACAGG
rnacentral:rRNA from 1 species